CCUACGGGAGACAGCAGUGAGGAAUAUUGGUCAAUGGGCGCGAGCCUGAACCAGCCAAGUAGCGUGAAGGAUGACUGCCCUACGGGUUGUAUACUUCUUUUAUAAAGGAAUAAAGCGAGGCACGUGUGCCUUUUUGCAUGUACUUUAUGAAUAAGGAUCGACUAACUCCGUGCCAGCAGCCGCGGUAAUACGGAGGAUCCGAGCGUUAUCCGGAUUUAUUGGGUUUAAAGGGAGCGUAGAUGGGUUGUUAAGUCAGUUGUGAAAGUUUGCGGCUCAACCGUAAAAUUGCAAUUGAUACUGGCAGCCUUGAGUACAGUUGAGGUAGGCGGAAUUCGUGGUGUAGCGGUGAAAUGCUUAGAUAUCACGAAGAACUCCGAUUGCGAAGGCAGCUUACUAAACUGCCACUGACAUUGAUGCUCGAAAGUGUGGGUAUCAAACAGGAUUAGAUACCCCGGUAGUC
rnacentral:rRNA from 1 species